GGGCCCGCAGCGACUCCCGCCUGCAGGCCCAGAGGCACAGUCGCUCUCCCAGUCCCCGAGGGGACAAGAGACACCUGCAGCACGGCAAUCCCCUACACCUGUGAGGCCCUCUAAGCCCGCAAGGCCCCCUACACCUGCAACCUCCCUUCACCUACAAGAUCCCUGCACCUGCAAGGACCCCUACACCUGCAACUUCCCUACACCUGCAAUCUCCCUACACCUGCAACCUCCGUACGCCUGCAACCUCCUUUCACCUACAAGAUCCCUAAACCUGCAACCUCCUUACACCUGCGUGAGCGUCACCCCGGCUGAGGCGCUGGCAGAAGGCGGUGCGGGUGGAGCCUUCGCCAACGUCCUGGGCCCCCUGAGUGCUGCAUGCCAGUCCUACCAGCCGCUCGGUCAUCUGCCACCGCCCAGCAAUGGCUUCAGCAUGCAGUCCCUGCUAGGGGACUCCAGGGAGGAGCAUCCUGGCCAGGGCUGGUGCCACAGAGCAGCCCAGCUUCUGCAGGCAGGUACGGGGUGCAGUGGGGAGAAGGCAGUGACCACCCCACCCCUGCCCUCCUCUGAGAGGCCUCUGUGGCCCCUCUGCCCCCUUCCUGGCCCCACGAGAGUGGAGGGGGAGACUUUGCCAGCGGGAGCCAUCAGGCCCUCAACCCUCUUCCCGGAGCCUAGGGCCUGGCCUCUCCACUUACUGCAGGGCACCUCAGUUCCUGGGGGGCUGUCCAGUGGGGGACACAGGGCCUCCCUCUGGGGGCAGCUGCCCACCUCCUACUUGCCAAUCUACACUCCCAAUGUGGUAAUGCCCUUGGCACCCCCACCCACCUCCUAUCCCCAAUGUCCACCGUCAACCAGCUCUGCCUACUGGGGGGUGGCCCCUGAAACCUGAGGGCCCCCAGGGCUGGGAUCUAGACGCCCUCUUCCAGGGUGUGUCACCCAACAAAAGCAUCUACGAUGUUUCGGUGGCACCCUGGGGACCUGGCGGCCCCUGGCCCAGGCGGGCUGCUCUCCCGGUGCAGCCUGUGA
rnacentral:lncRNA from 1 species